GCGCUGUGGUUCCGCCAUGGAAUCCAACAAGGAUGAAGCCGAGUGCUGUAUUAGCAUUGCUCUCAAGGCCAUCCAGAGCAACCAGCCCGACCGGGCGCCCUGCUUCCUGGAGAAGGCACAGCGACUGUACCCAACACCGCGAGUUCGCGCCCUGAUCGAGUCCCUCAACCAGAAACCACAGACUGCCAGUGACCAGCCCCAACCCACAGACACAACCCACACCACUCAUAGGAAGGCAGGUGGGACUGAUGCCCCCUCGGCCAACGGUGAAGCUGGAGGAGGAGAGAGCAGUAAAGGCUACACUGUGGAACAAGUGGCAGCUGUGAAAAGGGUCAAGCCAUGUAAAGAUUACUACGAGAUCCUGGGGGUGAGCAGAGGAGCCUCAGAUGAGGACCUGAAGAAGGCUUACCUCAAAUUGGCCCUCAAAUUCCACCCGGACAAGAACCGUGCUCCUGGUGCCACUGAAGCUUUCAAAGCCAUUGGCACAGCAUAUGCGGUACUUAGCUACCCAGAGAAAAGGAAGCAAUAUGACCAGUUGGUGAUGACAAGAGCCAGGGAGCCCGGCAUGGCCAUGGGCACGGGGACUUCCACCGUGGCUUUGAGGCUGACAUUUCUCCUGAAGACCUCUUCAACAUGUUCUUUGGAGGUGGCUUCCCUUCUAGUAACGUCCACAUCUACAGCAACGGUCGCAUGCGCUAUACCUACCAGCAAAGGCAGGACCGCAGGGACAACCAGGGUGACGGUGGGCUGGGGGUGUUUGUUCAGCUGAUGCCCAUCCUCAUCCCGAUCCUCGUGUCGGCUCUCAGCCAGCUCAUGGUCUCCAGUCCUCCCUACAGUCUGAGCCCAAGACCAUCAGUGGGCCAUGUCCACAGGCGAGUCACUGACCACCUGAGUGUCGUCUACUAUGUGGCAGACAGUUUCUCUGAGGAGUACACAGGCUCCAGCCUAAAAACAGUUGAACGGAACGUGGAAGAUGAUUACAUUGCCAACCUUCGAAACAACUGCUGGAAGGAGAAGCAGCAGAAGGAAGGCUUGUUGUACCGGGCCCGCUACUUUGGUGACACAGAUAUGUACCACAAAGCACAGAAGAUGGGCACUCCAAGCACAGAAGAUGGGACUGUCAGAGGUGCAGGCCUCCCUGCAUGGAUAGUCCUGGGCCAGCCAUGCCACCGAGACUAUGAAAUCCCUGGAGAAUUUUUGGUGACAAGCACUGAGCCAAGGUGAUGGACUGUGUAGUUAAGGAAAGACAUACAAAGAAAAAAAAUUAAAAUGGAAUUGGAGGCCAAACGCCCGCACAACUGCCCUCUCUCUCACCCAGUAAAUGCAGAAAGCUCUUAGGACAGUCAGAAAACCUGCCGCGGGGCUGCUUCCUCCCUCCCUGGGCUGGCAGAGGCUCCACAUCGGCUCUCUCCUAGGAUACAGAAACCAUGGCAACGAAAGUAGAAUGUAAAACUUGCAGCAAAUGUCUGUGGGAAGGGCUGGGGGAGGAGUUGCCCAAGCCUUUCCUCCCCCUCCCAGGAGCCACCACCAGUCACCUCUCAGGAGAAGCCAGAGGCGUUGGCCAAGGACAGAGCGGAGGAGGAAAGAAUUCUCCACGGAAUGUAAUUUAUAGAUGCGUGUAUAUGUAUAUAUAUAUAUUUAUAUGUAAAUAGACAUAUAUAAAGAUAUAUAUAGUUGACUUUUUAAACU